rnacentral:rRNA from 1 species
UACGUAGGUGGCGAGCGUUGUCCGGAAUUACUGGGCGUAAAGCGUGCGCAGGCGGUCUGUUAAGACCGAUGUGAAAUCCCCGGGCUUAACCUGGGAACUGCAUUGGUGACUGGCAGGCUUUGAGUGUGGCAGAGGGAGGUAGAAUUCCACGUGUAGCAGUGAAAUGCGUAGAGAUGUGGAGGAAUACCGAUGGCGAAGGCAGCCUCCUGGGCCAACACUGACGCUCAUGCACGAAAGCGUGGGGAGCAAACAGG